rnacentral:misc_RNA from 1 species
GUGAAUCAUCGAAUCUUUGAACGCAAAUUGCACUCCCUGGUAUUCCGGGGAGUAUGCCUGUUUGAGGGUCGUUAGAACAAAAAUCGAUGCGGCGCUCUUUUUUUUAUGGGUGAUCGCGUCGUAAUGGAGCCGUCUUUCAGUUGUUAAUUCAUGUCAAAGUGUCUUAAAAUUCAUCCAUCCAGUACGCUUAAAAC